rnacentral:rRNA from 1 species
UGGCGGACGGGUGAGUAAUGUCUGGGAAACUGCCCGAUGGAGGGGGAUAACUACUGGAAACGGUAGCUAAUACCGCAUAACGUCGCAAGACCAAAGAGGGGGACCUUCGGGCCUCUUGCCAUCGGAUGUGUCCAGAUGGGAUUAGCUAGUAGGUGGGGUAACGGCUCACCUAGGCGACGAUCCCUAGCUGGUCUGAGAGGAUGACCAGCCACACUGGAACUGAGACACGGUCCAG